UACGGGGGGGGCAAGCGUUGUUCGGAAUUACUGGGCGUAAAGGGCUCGUAGGUGGCCAACUAAGUCAGACGUGAAAUCCCCAGGCUCAACUUGGGAACUGCGUCUGAUACUGGAUGGCUUGAAUUCGGGAGAGGGAUGCAGAAUUCCAGGUGUAGCGGUGAAAUGCGUAGAUAUCUGGAGGAAUACCGGUGGCGAAGGCGGCAUCCUGGACCGUUAUUGACACUGAGGAGCGAAAGCCAGGGGAGCAAACGGG
rnacentral:rRNA from 1 species